GACGAACGCUGGCGGCGUGCUUAACACAUGCAAGUCGAACGGAAAGGCCCUGCUUUUGUGGGGUGCUCGAGUGGCGAACGGGUGAGUAACACGUGAGUAACCUGCCCUUGACUUUGGGAUAACUUCAGGAAACUGGGGCUAAUACCGGAUAGGAGCUCCUGCUGCAUGGGGGGGGUUGGAAAGUUUCGGCGGUUGGGGAUGGACUCGCGGCUUAUCAGCUUGUUGGUGGGGUAGUGGCUUACCAAGGCUUUGACGGGUAGCCGGCCUGAGAGGGUGAACGGCCACAUUGGGACUGAGAUAGGGCCCAGACUCCUACGGGAGGCAGCAGUGGGGAAUAUUGCACAGUGGGCGGAAGCCUGAUGCAGCAACGCCGCGUGCGGGAUGACGGCCUUCGGGGUGUAAACCGCUUUCGCCUGUGACGAAGCGUGAGUGACGGUAAUGGGUAAAGAAGCACCGGCUAACUACGUG
rnacentral:rRNA from 1 species